rnacentral:rRNA from 1 species
AGAGUUUGAUCAUGGCUCAGAACGAACGCUGGCGGCAGGCUUAACACAUGCAAGUCGAACGCUCGUAGCAAUACGGGAGUGGCAGACGGGUGAGUAACGCGUGGGAACAUACCCUCCGGUUCGGAAUAACUCAGGGAAACUUGAGCUAAUACCGGAUACGGCUGAGAGGCGAAAGAUUUAUCGCCGGAGGAUUGGCCCGCGUCCGAUUAGCUAGCUGGUGAGGUAACGGCUCACCAAGGCGACGAUCGGUAGCUGGUCUGAGAGGAUGAUCAGCCACAUUGGGACUGAGACACGGCCCAAACUCCUACGGGAGGCAGCAGUGGGGAAUAUUGGACAAUGGGCGCAAGCCUGAUCCAGCCAUGCCGCGUGAGUGAUGACGGCCUUAGGGUUGUAAAGCUCUUUCGCUCGGGACGAUAAUGACGGUACCGAGAUAAGAAGCCCCGGCUAACUUCGUGCCAGCAGCCGCGGUAAUACGAAGGGGGCUAGCGUUGUUCGGAAUUACUGGGCGUAAAGCGCGUGUAGGCGGGCUUUUAAGUCAGGGGUGAAAUGCCAAGGCUCAACCUUGGAACUGCCUUUGAUACUGGAAGUCUUGAGUCCGGGAGAGGUGAGUGGAACUGCGAGUGUAGAGGUGAAAUUCGUAGAUAUUCGCAAGAACACCGGUGGCGAAGGCGGCUCACUGGCCCGGAGCUGACGCUGAGACGCGAAUGCGUGGGGAGCAAACAGGAUUAGAUACCCUGGUAGUCCACGCUGUAAACGAUGGAUGCUAGCCGUU